GACGAACGAACGCGGCGUGCUUAACACAUGCAAGUCGAACGAAGAGAGAUGGAAGCUUGCUGCUAUGGAUAUUAGUGGCGAACGGGUGAGUAACGCGUAAUCAACCUGCCCUUCAGAGGGGGACAACAGUUUGAAACGACUGUUAAUACCGCAUACGAUCCAAUCUGGGCAUCUAGACUGGAUGAAAGGUGGCCUCUAUUAAUAAGCUAUCACCGAAGGAGGGGAUUGCGUCUGAUUAGCUAGUUGGAGGGGUAACGGCCCACCAAGGCGAUGAUCAGUAGCCGGUCUGAGAGGAUGAACGGCCACAUUGGGACUGAGACACGGCCCAGACUCCUACGGGAGGCAGCAGUGGGGAAUCUUCCGCAAUGGGCGAAAGCCUGACGGAGCAACGCCGCGUGAGUGAAGACGGCCUUCGGGUUGUAAAGCUCUGUUAAUCGGGACGAACGGUUGCUAGUGCGAAUAGC
rnacentral:rRNA from 1 species